GGUUGGAAAAAAGGGAAGGUCGGUUGGUUUGCCAUCACGAUAGAUAUGGAGAAGGCGUAUGGUCGUCUCAAUUGGGAUUUUAUUGAGGACACAUUCAUAGAUUUGGAAAUCCCAGGGUCGAGACACCAACUUAUCAUGCAUCAUAUAUGUUCCUCUUAUUUGUAGGUUUUAUAGAAUGACACCAUGACAAAUUCUUUUA
rnacentral:lncRNA from 1 species